AGUGUGACGGAACUUCCCCUUCCUGCCCAGCAGAUGGCGAGCGCGUGCCAGCGGUGCUUCUCAAAGGCUGUUGACUUGCGGGCGCGGUGGGAUCCUCCACCAGCGCGCUCCCGUGUGGAGUCAUGGAGUCGUAUCUGCCAGCCAGGCCUGGGUGGGUGUCCCGUGCGCCAGUGACAACGCGUCCCUCUAGCACCCUGUCGGACGUUCUCCGGGGUUGCCUGGGCGGCCGCGCCUGACACUGAUGUCAGAGGACAGCCUCGGCCCGGGGCCUGGCUGAGGAAGGUGCUCACGGGAGAGGGAGCACCCCCUGCCGCAGGCUCCGCGGGCCCUCUCUUCACCCCUGCACCGGAUGAAAGUAGGCGCUUGACCCACGAGCCGCCGGGUUCCAGGUUAAGUGGAAAUGGAAAACCCAACACAUCUUACGGCUGAUAGAAUAUCAUCAUCAGAUGGCAGAAGCCACCGUCACACACCAGCAAGGAGACGGAGCCUGCUUGUCUUCUUCAUACUGCAACAGAAGCCAGAGCAGCUCACCUUCCUGCAUGUCUACUACCGUGGCCCUGGGCCCUUCACCUGGCGGGCUAGAGUCAGAUAUGUACGAGCCCAGGGUCAGUUUGUGGCCAUUGCAGUGACUCCUACAGUCUCUUCCCCAUGGGCUCAGUGUGGCCGUCCUCCUCAGCACCCUCAGCCUCCUCACUCUUCGUCUCAACUUCCACCAGCAGAUGCCCCUGGGGGCAAGUGCGAGAAGCUGCGAGAAGGAGCAGGACCCAGGACGGAAGCUAGAGAGCUGUCCCACAGGGAGCUGUCCUGA
rnacentral:lncRNA from 1 species